rnacentral:tRNA from 1 species
AGGCACAUAGCUCAGUUGGUUAGAGCACCACCUUGACAUGGUGGGGGUCUUUGGUUCGAGUCCAAUUGUGCCUACCA